CUAGCUGGUCUGAGAGGAUGACCAGCCACACUGGAACUGAGACACGGUCCAGACUCCUACGGGAGGCAGCAGUGGGGAAUAUUGCACAAUGGGCGCAAGCCUGAUGCAGCCAUGCCGCGUGUAUGAAGAAGGCCUUCGGGUUGUAAAGUACUUUCAGCGGGGAGGAAGGUGUUGUGGUUAAUAACCGCAGCAAUUGACGUUACCCGCAGAAGAAGCACCGGCUAACUCCGUGCCAGCAGCCGCGGUAAUACGGAGGGUGCAAGCGUUAAUCGGAAUUACUGGGCGUAAAGCGCACGCAGGCGGUCUGUCAAGUCGGAUGUGAAAUCCCCGGGCUCAACCUGGGAACUGCAUUCGAAACUGGCAGGCUUGAGUCUUGUAGAGGGGGGUAGAAUUCCAGGUGUAGCGGUGAAAUGCGUAGAGAUCUGGAGGAAUACCGGUGGCGAAGGCGGCCCCCUGGACAAAGACUGACGCUCAGGUGCGAAAGCGUGGGGAGCAAACAGGAUU
rnacentral:rRNA from 1 species